ensembl:lncRNA
GUGUUCUAUACAGAGACGCUAGAACUGCAUUUAUGAACAUGCAUACAUUCAUUAUUUGAAAUAAUUAUAGAAAGACGGUUAUAGGGCAUUUUGCUAACUAUGGAUUUAAUUCUCUGAAAUAGACUCAAUGAUUGGAAGAAACAGUAAGGAUUUAUUUUUUUUUUAACUCUGCUUGAGGAUGUAGGCCUAUAUGGAUUUACCCCACCUUCCAAUCAACAUCUCUUACUUGAUGACAACAGCUGAAAAGGACCCGGAGGUUGAGCUGUGCACGCUGUCCUAUUAGCUGUCAGAGAUCUGGCUGAUCACCCUCUCAGCGCUGGAUGAUGUUGUGCUUAUGAAUAAAGGUCAGAGGUUGACUGCCUCCUGCCACCUGCACACCUUCUGCUAGAGUGUCAGCUCAGAGUCUCAAACGGUGACAGAAUGAUGCUGACGCUUAUUAAUCC